UACAGGCUUAACACAUGCAAGUCGAGGGGCAUCAGGAAGAAAGCUUGCUUUCUUUGCUGGCGACCGGCGCACGGGUGAGUAACACGUAUCCAACCUGCCCUUUACUCGGGGAUAGCCUUUCGAAAGAAAGAUUAAUACCCGAUGGCAUAAUGAUUCCGCAUGGUUUCAUUAUUAAAGGAUUCCGGUAAAGGAUGGGGAUGCGUUCCAUUAGGUUGUUGGUGAGGUAACGGCUCACCAAGCCUUCGAUGGAUAGGGGUUCUGAGAGGAAGGUCCCCCACAUUGGAACUGAGACACGGUCCAAACUCCUACGGGAGGCAGCAGUGAGGAAUAUUGGUCAAUGGGCGCUAGCCUGAACCAGCCAAGUAGCGUGAAGGAUGAAGGCUCUAUGGGUCGUAAACUUCUUUUAUAUAAGAAUAAAGUGCAGUAUGUAUACUGUUUUGUAUGUAUUAUAUGAAUAAGGAUCGGCUAACUCCGUGCCAGCAGCCGCGGUAAUACGGAGGAUCCGAGCGUUAUCCGGAUUUAUUGGGUUUAAAGGGAGCGUAGGUGGACUGGUAAGUCAGUUGUGAAAGUUUGCGGCUCAACCGUAAAAUUGCAGUUGAUACUGUCAGUCUUGAGUACAGUAGAGGUGGGCGGAAUUCGUGGUGUAGCGGUGAAAUGCUUAGAUAUCACGAAGAACUCCGAUUGCGAAGGCAGCUCACUGGACUGCAACUGACACUGAUGCUCGAAAGUGUGGGUAUCAAACAGGAUUAGAUACCCUGGUAGUCCACACAGUAAACGAUGAAUACUCGCUGUUUGCGAUAUACAGUAAGCGGCCAAGCGAAAGCAUUAAGUAUUCCACCUGGGGAGUACGCCGGCAACGGUGAAACUCAAAGGAAUUGACGGGGGCCCGCACAAGCGGAGGAACAUGUGGUUUAAUUCGAUGAUACGCGAGGAACCUUACCCGGGCUUAAAUUGCAGUGGAAUGAUGUGGAAACAUGUCAGUGAGCAAUCACCGCUGUGAAGGUGCUGCAUGGUUGUCGUCAGCUCGUGCCGUGAGGUGUCGGCUUAAGUGCCAUAACGAGCGCAACCCUUAUCUUUAGUUACUAACAGGUUAUGCUGAGGACUCUAGAGAGACUGCCGUCGUAAGAUGUGAGGAAGGUGGGGAUGGCGUCAAAUCAGCACGGCCCUUACGUCCGGGGCUACGCACGUGUUACAAUGGGGGGUACAGAAGGCAGCUAGCGGGUGACCGUAUGCUAAUCCCAAAAGCCUCUCUCAGUUCGGAUCGAAGUCUGCAACCCGACUUCGUGAAGCUGGAUUCGCUAGUAAUCGCGCAUCAGCCACGGCGCGGUGAAUACGUUCCCGGGCCUUGUACACACCGCCCGUCAAGCCAUGGGAGCCGGGGGUACCUGAAGUACGUAACCGCAAGGAUCGUCCUAGGGUAAAACUGGUGACUGGGGCU
rnacentral:rRNA from 1 species